rnacentral:rRNA from 1 species
UACAGAGGGGGCAAGCGUUGUUCGGAAUUACUGGGCGUAAAGGGCGCGUAGGCGGCCCGCUAAGUCGAACGUGAAAUCCCUGGGCUCAACCCAGGAACUGCGUCCGAUACUGGCGGGCUUGAAUCCGGGAGAGGGAUGCGGAAUUCCAGGUGUAGCGGUGAAAUGCGUAGAUAUCUGGAGGAACACCGGUGGCGAAGGCGGGUCUCUGGGCAGUAACUGACGCUGAGGAGCGAAAGCGUGGGGAGCGAACAGG